GUUAAAGUAGUUUAUUUAAAACAUUGGUCUUGUAAACCAAAAUAGAGAACAAUAGAUUCUCCUUCAACU
rnacentral:tRNA from 1 species